GGAGGAUGAUAUGAAGGAGACAGACCAAUCAAAUGAUCAACCCUCUGAUUCAGAGGAGGAAAAUCUACCACAGAAGAGCCAUCCUGCAGCCACAAUUGAGAUCGUGGAAUCUGAUGAUGAGUUUGACCACUUCUAUGAUUAAACCAGAAACUAGAACAGAAAGAUGGGAGACAGAAAAAGAACAGAACAGAAAGAGAAAACCAACAAUGGAUGAAUAUGCUGAACAGAAGCUGCAAUAACUCAAUGCUUUCAGAAAAUGAGCAAGGUGCACACCCUAAACAGCAGCUUCAGACCAGACAGAGAGCCACAAGGCCGAGCAAUGAAUAGAGGAAUCACAUUACAAAGGGAUGAAAGAGGAAAGAAAGGGAUAAAUAGAUGCUGGGUGUCCCUCAUCUUUUUUUGUUAUUUGCUGGUAGCUUAUCUGACUGUCCUGAAAGAACCGCACCACUGUCACUCUGCAAACACAGGUGGAUCCAGAGACGAAGAGAGAAUAAUAGAGGAGAUGAAUAGUGCAUGACGUUAAACGAGAGAAGCCAAGUUAUAGAUUUUAUUCUAAGUGCAUAGCUGGAAUGCUAUCACAUUUCUAAAACAGAAAAGUGUUUCUUUAAUCUAAAUCAAUGUCCUAUAGGGAAUCAAAGUGUUUGCCCUGAGUUCUUUGGAAUUAAUUUAAAUGUAACAAGAAUUUGAACGCUUUCUCAUUCAGAUAGGGAGCGUGGCCUGAAGCGAGGGGGGUUAGUGAAGUUUCGGGGGAAGUGGGAAGGAGUGCAGGCCUGUCACUGCCUCUGACUGAUGGCUAUUUGAACAGGCAUAUUUACCCGGGCCCUUGUGAAAGGAGACGGAGGGACACUAACGGAGACGCGCAGGCACAGACAGGCAAUAAAAAGCUGGCCACUGUGUAAACAACAUGGCCUAGUCUGUUCGGCCGCUGCCAUGCCAACAGGGCAGCUUCCACUCUCCAGCCAAUCACAUGCCAGCUUUUUGACAAGCGGAACAAAACCCCCAUGAGAUGUUUUAAGAUACGGUUUGGAUGUCCUGCAGAAUGACAUGCUGUACUGUUUCAAACAGCAUUUUGUAAUUCUUUUAGAAUUGUUGCGCAUGCAAUUUAGUUCUUUUAAAAUUUGUCACAACUCAGGAUCAUUUAAAAUUAACUAAAUAUACACAAAUAAAUUUACACAGAAUUUAAUUACAUUUGACAAACUUUUUCACCAACAAUCACCUGGCAGCAGAUCCCUUCCUCCUGCCCCAACCCCCUCACAGUCCGGAUCCACAGCUGGGCUACUGAUGACCUGCAGACAGCAUCUUCACACCCUACAAAUCCACAUUCACACCCUUGUAAUGCUAAGAACUGAAUACACACAUAGCCAGACUUUCAGAUAUUUAGAAAGUCACGUCACAGUCAUCCAUCAUAUCAACAUGCAGCCGAAUCUGUUGAUGGGCCGACUUCUAAAGAAGACAAUAAUCUGUGCAGGAACAGAUCAUAGCCCAGAAAGCUCAUGGAGUCCUGACGUCUCGCCCUCUGUCUGAAUCUCGGACACACACUGAGGGGUCUGUGGCUUCUGCUCAGAUCGCUGUGGGUGUCCCUGUGUCCCAUUGUUGAGAAGACACUGCUUUGGGGAGGUCCACCAUUAAGACAGUGUCUUCCUAUUGUUCUCAUACACUCAAACACAAUCCUGCUUACCCAAGAAUCAAAGGUUAGGAUAGCAUUCAGCCCAUGAGACACCACACCAACCGCACUAAACAGUCAAAAUCGCAAGCCGUUUCUGGACACUAACCACUAACCUGUUCUGUAUCAUCAGUGAAUCUGUAGUUUGAUGGGUUUGUGCAGUUGUAUUGCUGUUAUAAAUAUGCUUUUUUUAUUUCAAUUUUUAUUUCAAUUUCUUGUUCAUUUAUUUUUAUAUUAGCAAAUUCUAUUAUCAUAUAUAAUAAAAAAUAUAUUUAGCA